CCUACGGGAGGCAGCAGUGAGGAAUAUUGGACAAUGGGCGCAAGCCUGAUCCAGCCAUGCCGCGUGCAGGAUGACGGUCCUAUGGAUUGUAAACUGCUUUUGUACAGGAAGAAACACUGGUUCGUGAACCAGCUUGACGGUACUGUAAGAAUAAGGAUCGGCUAACUCCGUGCCAGCAGCCGCGGUAAUACGGANGAUCCAAGCGUUAUCCGGAAUCAUUGGGUUUAAAGGGUCCGUAGGCGGUUUAAUAAGUCAGUGGUGAAAGCCCAUCGCUCAACGGUGGAACGGCCAUUGAUACUGUUAAACUUGAAUUAUUAGGAAGUAACUAGAAUAUGUAGUGUAGCGGUGAAAUGCUUAGAGAUUACAUGGAAUACCAAUUGCGAAGGCAGGUUACUACUAAUUGAUUGACGCNGAUGGACGAAAGCGUGGGUAGCGAACAGGAUUAGAUACCCUGGUAGUCCACGCCGUAAACGAUGGAUACUAGCUGUUGGACGCAAGUUCAGUGGCUAAGCGAAAGUGAUAAGUAUCCCACCUGGGGAGUACGUUCGCAAGAAUGAAACUCAAAGGAAUUGACGGGGGCCCGCACAAGCGGUGGAGCAUGUGGUUUAAUUCGAUGAUACGCGAGGAACCUUACCAAGGC
rnacentral:rRNA from 1 species